AUAGAUUUAGGGCAACAUUUGUGUGCGAAGCAUUGUGCGAAGUGCAAAAAAUACCAUAAACCUCAUUAUAAUCUUGCAGUGUGAUUUAAUCUGAAAAUGUUCUUCAACGAUGUCCGUUAUGAGGAGGACUAUGUAAGGGAUCAUCAACGAGAGGCUUCGUGUUCUAUGGAAAAUAAUAAACGACUUGGUAGGUGUGUUCCACGAACGCAUAGAGCCCUGAGUUGAUUAUCUCUUAUAUACUGUACCAUGGCUAUAAUUUAACACAUUUGCCGCUCAAAAUGUUUUCAUUUGGCAGUAGAAAUGUGUUCAAUAUCCACUGAAGUAGGAAGCAAGUUUACUAAAUAGCUACAGUAGUUGCCUUGGUAACCAAACAGACUUGCUAGGUUAGCUAACCAAACCAUCAGUCCUAGCUUGCUAUUAUGAAAAUCUAAUUCAACAAUACCAAUGUUUUCAAUUCGACUUUUGCUGCCAAAAGCAGCAUGGAACAUAAGAAUGAACUAUAGCCAUUGAAUUCUACCGUGCUGAUAUACCGUGCGUUAUAGGGAAAUAAUGCACGCUCUAGAAUGCCCUUCAAUCCAAUCAGGAACAACUAUUUAACAAUGCCAUGGUAUAAAUUAAAAAACGGAGCAAUACAUAAAUAGAUUCCUCUUCAAAACGCACACUGUUGAAGAAAAGUUUCAUUCAAUUCCCAUGAUAAUGAGGUUUAUGGUAAGUUUUCCACUUUGCAGUGCACAAUACUUUUGCACCUAUAGCCUAAUCAUGACUCUGGUGUUAACCAUACCCACACUAUACAAUAAUCACUCAGUGUGUGUGUGUGUGUGUGUGUGUGUGUGUGUGUGUAAGUCAGACCUGCAGAUGGAGUUUGAAGAGCUGGUGUCCAGCGCCAGGAGACUAAGUCUCAGCAGCACAGAAAAGCAGAAGAGAGGAAGCAUUGCCAAUGCUGACUCUAGGAUGGACCGCAAGAGAGAGUCCCACUACAUCGGAGCAGGUCCAGAGUUCCAGCAUGUCUGUUUCAAGCCCUGUGGUCAGAGUCCUCUGGUGUCUCGCUACCUGCACCUCCAAGACAUCCCUACACCUGCUGGAUCUGACACACGCAGGAUCAGACGCACUGAGAUCACCAACCUGACAUAUCCUUGCACACACACACAAACACACACACACACACACACACACACACACACACACACACACACACACACACACACACACAGCACAAACACAGCACAAACACAGCACAAACACACACACACACACACACACACACACACACACACACACACACACACACACACUGCACAAACACAGCACAAACACACACACACACACACACACAGCACAAACACACACACACACACAAACACACACACACACACAGCACAAACACACACACACAGCACAAACACAAACACACACAGCACAAACACACACACACACAGCACAAACACACACAGCACAAACACACACACACACACACAUACACAGCACAAACACACACAAACGGGCGCCGUGAAAAGUUAGGACGAUUCUAAGGGCCUGUGACUGACAGGGGCCCAAAAAAUUAUUAGAACAUUAGGUCAGAAAAAUGUAAAUAUUAAAUUAUUAACCUAUCGUCAUUAAUAGAGUAUUUUAUUUACAAUGUAAAUAAAACUAACGGUUUCUUUUUCUUUUCUUGUUUUUGGCUAAAAGUAUACAGAGCCUCUGUAUUGCCUAACCCCUCCCCUCUAUUUACAUGAAAUGGUUCGGUCCUGCCCCCAAACCAGGUGCAAAUGGUACUUGCAGUGAAUUGUGAGUGAGGAGUACCGGUGGAGCAUCAUGUCUCAGCUUCUUAAAGAAAAAUCUGGCUUCCAAAAACAAAAAGAAAGACAGAAGAGAGAUAAGAAAGGGCAACAAUAUGUCACCCAAUUUUUCACAAAGGAAGGUGGGUGUAGUCUGUGAGUGGUAGAAAUUAACCUGUUAGCUUAGUCCAUAGUGAAAUAGGCUACUUUUGCACCCCUAACAUUAGUUACUUAAUAUCUUCACAGAAAAUUCUGAGUGUUUAUAUUUCGCUCUU
ensembl:lncRNA